rnacentral:rRNA from 1 species
GUUAGAGGGUUUCCGCCCUUUAGUGCUGAAGUUAACGCAUUAAGCACUCCGCCUGGGGAGUACGGCCGCAAGGCUGAAACUCAAAGGAAUUGACGGGGGCCCGCACAAGCGGUGGAGCAUGUGGUUUAAUUCGAAGCAACGCGAAGAACCUUACCAGGUCUUGACAUCCUCUGACAACCCUAGAGAUAGGGCUUCUCCUUCGGGAGCAGAGUGACAGGUGGUGCAUGGUUGUCGUCAGCUCGUGUCGUGAGA